AUGAACGCUGGCGGCGUGCCUAAUACAUGCAAGUCGAGCGAACAGACGAGGAGCUUGCUCCUCUGACGUUAGCGGCGGACGGGUGAGUAACACGUGGAUAACCUACCUAUAAGACUGGGAUAACUUCGGGAAACCGGAGCUAAUACCGGAUAAUAUAUUGAACCGCAUGGUUCAAUAGUGAAAGACGGUUUUGCUGUCACUUAUAGAUGGAUCCGCGCCGCAUUAGCUAGUUGGUAAGGUAACGGCUUACCAAGGCAACGAUGCGUAGCCGACCUGAGAGGGUGAUCGGCCACACUGGAACUGAGACACGGUCCAGACUCCUACGGGAGGCAGCAGUAGGGAAUCUUCCGCAAUGGGCGAAAGCCUGACGGAGCAACGCCGCGUGAGUGAUGAAGGUCUUCGGAUCGUGAAACUCUGUUAUUAGGGAAGAACAAAUGUGUAAGUAACUAUGCACGUCUUGACGGUACCUAAUCAGAAAGCCACGGCUAACUACGUG
rnacentral:rRNA from 1 species